GAAAGCUUUUGCCAAAGGGGAGGUGACAAUGAACGUAUAUUUUAUAACAUUUUGUGAGGUGUCCUUUCUUUCAUUUUAGUCAAUCAUCACCUGUACAGCAGCUCUUCAUCUAGUAUAAGAAGCUACUUAAGAGCAGUAAUGACACCGGUUGCCUCAUUCAGAAACAGAGGAGUAAUGUCUCUCAGAAAAUAUAAAGACUUUGUCGUCAUUAUUACUCUGCUCUGUCUGUUCAGCCCUGUGAGUUCACGGAUAGGCAAGCAAGAACUGAAAAAUAUAAAUAAAAACUUACAGGAGCUACAACAAGAUGCAGCAAUGAGAAAGCUUGAAAACAAAGUGGACAUGGCGUUACUUCUGCUGAUGCUUGAAGAACUUACAAAUGGUGUAGACAUUAUGGCUGAGAUGAUAAAGUAAUUUCCCGAUCUUCUUGGGAACCUAAAAGACUUGAAGGUAUUCCUGGUGGAAAGCCAGUUUUUUUUGGAAAAAAAGUUUCAAGACGAAUCUCAAGAAAUCAAAGAUUAUGAGGACAUACUCAGACAUCUGGAGUAAUUUGUAACAAACUUAGCAGAGGAGCAUGCUGAACUGUGAAUUGCAUAUUGGUUUUAGGUGUAUUACAACUUGUAACAUACAAGCUUUUCCAAAAGCUUGUAUGUUCCUUAUUGUUAUUUUUUCACUUAGGAAUUAUAUUAUUGUUACUACCAAGGUAAAAGUGUCUAUCGACUCAAGUAUUUUAAAUUGAA